UACGUAGGGGGCUAGCGUUGUCCGGAAUCAUUGGGCGUAAAGCGCGUGUAGGCUGCUCUGCAAGUCGGAUGUGAAAGCCCUGGGCUCAACCUAGGAAGUGCACUCGAAACUGCAGAGCUCGAGUCUCGGAGAGGAUCGCGGAAUUCUCGGUGUAGAGGUGAAAUUCGUAGAUAUCGAGAGGAACACCGGUGGCGAAGGCGGCGAUCUGGACGAUGACUGACGCUGAGACGCGAAAGCGUGGGGAGCAAACAGG
rnacentral:rRNA from 1 species